UUUAGUAAUCUAUUGUAUUAGUUACUAGACAUACACUUUUUAAACCUUAUUGGGUUUGAAAUUGGUAUUCCAUUAUGUUUUGCCACUUCUGCAAGCAAGAGUGCUUAAAAUAAAUGUCAUGAUGUAACUUCAUAUGAUUUCCAGUUAACAAAUUCCUGCUGUUUUGGCACUCCAAAUAGAUACAAGGAAGUCUACCUGCUAUUCUAAGAUUCAGAUAUCAUUCACAUACAUAAUGUAUCAUCUCUCAUGACUCUGAUGGUUUGUAUCUUGGAAGCAAUUCGGGUGUUGGUCUAAGGUUGCCAAGGGGUAUUGCUGAUAGUUGUAGUCUGGUGAUUGUUGUUAUCUUAUAGAAGUGCUUUUGCUUCGCUUCAAGGGUCUUCUAUUUGGAGCACUGGACCAAGAGCACAUGGAGGGAGCUCUUCUCCACCAUGCCGGCGACAGGAACAAGGAAAAUCCAGUCCAUGGUGCCACCAAUGAACAAGGUUGGUUUGCACAAGGUGCUGCAGUUUUCAAGAUAUAUCAUGUGCUCAAAUGUUUGAAGGCUUAUGUUGUGUACCGAAAGAAUCCUCAAAAAAAUUAGAAGUUCCAAGAAUGAUGAUGUGCCGCGGGGAUGGACAGUGAAGAUUGUUUGUAGUUUUUCCACUUGAUGUUUGUUCGGUAAGAAAACAACAAUAUAUAUGAUUGAUGAGUUGCAUCCUAUAACCGCUCACUGAUGCUAAUUGGUUCUUACACGUAAAAACAAGCUUCAAAAAUUGUAUCGGUACUUCUAUCGUCAAUGCUCCUCCUCUGUUUUUUCAUCUUCAGUUCAAAGAAUCAUCCUCCAAUCCAAAAAGUAAAUGUUAAUUACUGGUCUUCAUCGCGUGUUGGAUGGAAAGGCCCCUUCUAUCUUAGCAUCGCUUUUCAUAUGCCAUGUUACUUAUAAUGUUGUGUUCCAUUUUACCAUUCAUGGAUGGCCUCACCUUAUUGUCUAUGAACAAUCAUACUCUACAGUUAGUGCUUUGGUUUGUAAUGGAUUUGUACUUGUGAAGCUCAUUCGUUUA